CCAAAAAUUAUUUUAAAAAUAUGGGGAUGAUCCUGAGGUUGUGUAGGUCACUGUGGUAUAUUCAUAUACCCAAUUUGAGCAUCGUAUGAAGAAUUUAUUACCUAGUUGGUUUAGGUGCGUUAAAUGUGCGUUAAAUGAUUGUUUUAAGUUAUUUCACUUCUAGGUGGAACUUAUAACGAGGACGAGCACAUCCAGGGGCGUCAAGGGGGUUACGACCCGGCGACAUACCAGUUCUAGUUGAUAGUUGAGGCGUUGGUGGCCUACGAGGACUGCUUCGGCGUUCUGACAGACUAAAUAAAUAAUUAUGCCGCCUCGUAGAGAUCCUCGCCGUGCUGCUGAGCCUAAUUUCCCCGAUAUAACUCAGUUAGGGGCAGCAAUGGCUCAAGCUUUUCAGGCUAAUAUCCGUCCUCCUCAGAGAACGCCCGUAGAGACGAUGUAUAAUCUGAAACUGGAAACUUUUGAGGGAAAUGAAGGUUAUGAAGGGGCAGAAAAGUGGUUGGAUCGAAUUGAGCAGACCUUUCAAGUGAUGCAAAGUCAGGGAAACCUGCCAGCUAAUAGAUGGGUGGAGACCACCACCUGGUUUUUGGGCCGUGAGCCAGCUGCGUGGUGGAUAAAUCAGUCGAGGCACAUGGCACCUGAAAGGGCAGCCGAAUGAGAGGUAUUUAAGGAAAAUUUUAUGAAGAGAUUUGUUCCUCCGGAAUAUAUAGAUCGCAAGAAACAGGAAUUCACCAGUCUGAAGCAGAGGAAUAUGUCUGCACAUGAGUACUACAGGAAGUUUACUGAUUUAUCCCGUUAUGAUUCUGAUUUAGCGGGUAAUCAAGCAGAAAUGCUUCGUCGUUUCAAGCUAG